UACGCAGGGGGCUAGCGUUGUUCGGAUUUACUGGGCGUAAAGCGCACGUAGGCGGUUUGUUAAGUGAGAGGUGAAAUCCCAGAGCUCAACUCUGGAACUGCCUUUCAUACUGGCAAGCUAGAGUCCGGAAGAGGUAAGUGGAACUCCUAGUGUAGAGGUGGAAUUCGUAGAUAUUAGGAAGAACACCAGUGGCGAAGGCGGCUUACUGGUCCGGAACUGACGCUGAGGUGCGAAAGCGUGGGGAGCAAACAGG
rnacentral:rRNA from 1 species